CCUUUGGUAGCUCAGUGGUAGAGCGCGGGGUAUAUAUUCAUCAUCUAGUGGGUUUUCGCCGCCGAGGACGUUGGUUCGACUCCGGCAUGAAGGC
rfam:Peniophora sp. CONT PENSPscaffold_129_Cont202, whole genome shotgun sequence.